GUAUAACCAUGGUAGAUUGGUGAAGAACCUACUGAUUCAUUUUGGAGGUGUAUAUAUUAAUGGAUGAGAAGAAACAUUCACUUCAGGUUUUCACUGACAGAGGCAGAGCAGAAAUCAGAUGUCCGAUUCUUGGUGAGUGACCAUGAUUUCAUUCAAGUAGUUCACAGACAUUAUUAGUGCAUGAGACUUAUGUGACCUCUUGUACCUGUG
rnacentral:lncRNA from 1 species